rnacentral:rRNA from 1 species
UCGACGUGAUCUUCAUUUUCGGAUGGAGUGAAAGUGGCGCACGGGUGAGUAACACAUGGCUGACCUGCCCUUCAGCGGGGGACAACCACUGGAAACGGUGGCUAAUACCCCAUACGUUCACUCAGGUUAGAGGCUGGGUGAGGAAAGUUGCGGCGCUGAAGGAGGGGGCUGUGGCCCAUCAGCUAGUUGGUAGGGUAAAGGCCUACCAAGGCGAAGACGGGUAGGGGGCCUGAGAGGGUGACCCCCCACACUGGAACUGAGAGACGGUCCAGACUCCUACGGGAGGCAGCAGUAAGGGAUAUUGCGACAAUGGGCGAAAGCCUGACGCAGCAACGCCGCGUGUGGGAUGACGGCCUUCGGGUUGUAAACCACUUUUCGGGGAGAAGAGGAAGGACGGUAUCCCCGGAAUAAGUCUCGGCUAACUACGUGCCAGCAGCCGCGGUAAAACGUAGGAGGCGAACGUUAUCCGGAUUUACUGGGUGUAAAGCGCGUGCAGGCGGUCGUGUAAGUCAAGCGUGAAAGCGCCCGGCUCAACCGGGCGAGGACGUUUGAAACUGCAGGACUUGAGGGAGGUAGAGGCGUACGGAAUUCCGGGUGUAGUGGUGAAAUGCGUAGAUAUCCGGAGGAACACCAGUGGCGAAGGCGGUACGCUGGGCCUAACCUGACGCUAAGACGCGAAAGCAUGGGGAGCGAACGGGAUUAGAAACCCCGGUAGUCCAUGCCGUAAACGAUGUGAACUGGGUGUUGCGUGCGAUGAGUAUGCAGUGCCGAAGCCAACGCGAUAAGUUCACCACCUGGGGA